rnacentral:rRNA from 1 species
AUUGAACGCUGGCGGCAUGCCUUACACAUGCAAGUCGAACGGCAGCGCGGGGCAACCUGGCGGCGAGUGGCGAACGGGUGAGUAAUAUAUCGGAACAUACCCUAGAGUGGGGGAUAACGUAGCGAAAGUUACGCUAAUACCGCAUACGCACUAAGGUGGAAAGUGGGGGAUUCGCAAGAACCUCAUGCUCAUGGAGUGGCCGAUAUCUGAUUAGCUAGUUGGUGAGGUAAAGGCUCACCAAGGCAACGAUCAGUAGUUGGUUUGAGAGAACGACCAGCCACACUGGAACUGAGACACGGUCCAGACUCCUACGGGAGACAGCAGUGGGGAAUUUUGGACAAUGGGGGGCAACCCUGAUCCAGCAAUGCCGCGUGAGUGAAGAAGGCCUUCGGGUUGUAAAGGACUCUUUGUUCUAGGGAAGAAACGGUAGAGAGCUAAUAUCUCUUGUCUAAUGACGGUACCUGAAGAAUAAGCACCGGCUAACUACGUAGCCA